rnacentral:rRNA from 1 species
UACGUAGGGUGCGAGCGUUAAUCGGAAUUACUGGGCGUAAAGCGUGCGCACGCGGUUCGUUAAGUUCGUUGUGAAAGCCCCGGGCUCAACCUGGGAACUGCAAUGGAAACUGGCGGGCUUGAAUGCGGCAGAGGGGGGUGGAAUUCCGCGUGUAGCAGUGAAAUGCGUAGAGAUGCGGAGGAACACCGAUGGCGAAGGCAGCCCCCUGGGCCGACCCUGACGCUGAGGCGCGAAGGCGUGGGGAGCGAACGGG